rnacentral:rRNA from 1 species
GAUGAACGCUGGCGGCGUGCCUAAUACAUGCAAGUCGAGCGAACAGAUGAGAAGCUUGUUCCUCUGACGUUUGCGGCGGACGGAUGUAUAACACGUGGAACCUCUCCCUAUAAGACUGGGAUAACUUCGGAACACCGGCGAUAAUCCCGGAUGAUAUAUUGUUCCAUAUGAUUCACUAGUAAAAUACGGUUUUACCGUUACUUAUAGAUGGUUCCGGGGCUCAUUAGCUAGUUGGUAAGGUAACGGCUUACCAAGGCAACAAAGCGUAGCCGACCUGAGAGGGUGAGGGGCCACACGGGAACUGAGACACGGCCCAGACUCCUACGGGGGGCAGCAGUAGGGAAUCUGCCGCAAGGGGCGAAAGCCUGAGGGAGCAACGCCGCGUGAGUGAUGAAGGUCUUCGGAUCGUAAAACUCUUGUAUGAGGGAGAACAAAUGUGUAAGUAACUAUGCACGUCGUGACGGUACCUAAUCAGAAAGCCACGGCUAACUACGUG